CGCCGAGUAGAUCAAGGAUUCUCUGACUGUGACUUGAGGUGAGUGGAUAUCAUUCUGUUCACAAUAUCCAGAGACUCUUGCAAAGGUUUCUUGCUUCUUGAGGAAUCCUGAAAUUCUAAUAUCACCUUCAAUAUAUCCGCCUGUUUUUCUUCCUGCCAAAACGUCCAUCAAUGUAGUCUUUCCAGCUCCACUGACUCCCAUUAGUGCUGUCAGGACUCCAGGCCUAAAUGCACCUGUUACUUCCCGAAGAAGUUGAAGCCUGUCCUCCGGAACUCCUUGCUGCUUCAUUUCAGCAGGCAUGUCCACGUAGUAGUUCACGCUGUUAAAGGACAUGGCUAGGGGAGUGAAAGGAAGAACCAUUCCUCUCUUAGGAGCUACACCAUUCGCUGCCUCAAGAGAUGAAUCAGCAUUUCUACCGAGUCCAUUGGGAUUGGAUCGGCUGCUCAUCCUCCGAAUUUCCAUUUCCCUUGUAUUAUUUCCAUCAGCAGAAGAUAACGAAUGAGGGUUUGACUUUGACAUUCUUAGUCUUGGUUGACCCUUCGAGUCUUCCUCACGCUCCAUUUCCUUUGCUGAUUCCUCAGAGAUUAUUGCUUGUUUCUUUCCAGGAGGGGCCAAGUACAUGAGAGCAAAGGUGAAGAGGACGUUGAAAAGAACUGCAAAUCCUAGAAGAGCACCGGCACCAAUCCAAUACCAGUUCUUGUUGCGGAAAACAUCAAAGCUUUCGAGCACUGCCUCACCUAAUCUUGUAUUGUCUGAAACCAGUUUGUUCAUCCACCUUGGAGCAUAAAAUUCAUUCACAGUAUAGGCAUUAUAACCAUAAGACAGAGGUGAAGCCCAAUAAGCCCACUCCCACCAGUUUGGAAUUUGACCUUUAGGUAUGAUGAAGCCUCCAAGUAAGAAAAUAAGGAGGAGAAUGAGCACCCCACCAGUGUUGGCAAUGAUCAUAGUCCUGCAAACUCCGGCGAUGAGUCUAAAAAGCCCAGCAGCCAUUUGUUGGGUCAGAAAUACCAGUAGAAGAUGCUUGAAAAACCUGCUAGCUUCAGGAGCAAAUCCUAUGGAGUAAUAGGUAAUGCACACCCAAACGAUAGACUCUAUUAUGGACAUGGGCAAUGUAAGCAGGAAAGUUGGGAGAGUGAAUGUCCAAGGUGGGUGGAAGAGAAGGUCCCUUUGCUUGUAAAACACUGGAAGCCUUGAGAUCAUGAGAGUGAGCUCAGCAAAAC
rnacentral:misc_RNA from 1 species